rnacentral:rRNA from 1 species
GAACGCUGGCGGCGUGCUUAACACAUGCAAGUCGAACGGUGAAGCGCCUUCCUUUUUGGUGGGUGUGGAUGAGUGGCGAACGGGUGAGUAACACGUGAGUAACCUGCCCCCUUCUUCUGGAUAACCGCAUGAAAGUGUGGCUAAUACGGGAUAUUCUGGGUCUGUCGCAUGAUGGGUCUGGGAAAGAUAUUGUUUCGGUGGGGGAUGGGCUCGCGGCCUAUCAGCUUGUUGGUGGGGUGAUGGCCUACCAAGGCGGUGACGGGUAGCCGGCCUGAGAGGGUGGACGGUCACACUGGGACUGAGACACGGCACAGACUCCUACGAGAGGCAGCAGUGGGGAAUAUUGCACAAUGGGCGCAAGCCUGAUGCAGCGACGCCGCGUGAGGGAUGGAGGCCUUCGGGUUGUGAACCUCUUUCGCCAGUGAAGCAGGCCUGCCUCGUUUGUGGGUGGGUUGACGGUAGCUGGAUAAGAAGCGCCGGCUAACUACGUG